UACAGAGGUCUCAAGCGUUUGUUCGGAUUCAUUGGGCGUAAAGGGUGUGUAGGUGGCGCCGUAAGUCGGGUGUGAAAUUUCGGAGCUUAACUCCGAAACUGCAUUCGAUACGUGCGGUGCUUGAGGACUGGAGAGGAGACUGGAAUUCAUGGUGUAGCAGUGAAAUGCGUAGAGAUCCGGAAGAACACCGGUGGCGAAGGCGGUUCUACUGGGCCUUACC
rnacentral:rRNA from 1 species